rnacentral:rRNA from 1 species
CCUACGGGAGGCAGCAGUAGGGAAGCGUCCACAAUGGGCGAAAGCCUGAUGGAGCAACGCCGCGUGGGUGAAGAAGGUCUUCGGAUCGUAAAACCCUGUUGUUAGAGAAGAAAGUGCGGGAGAGUAACUGUUCACGUGUCGACGGUAUCGAACCAGAAAGCCACGGCUAACUACGUGCCAGCAGCCGCGGUAAUCCGUAGGUGGCAAGCGUUAUCCGGAUUUAUUGGGCGUAAAGGGAACGGAGGCGGUCUUUUAAGUCUGAUGUGAAAGCCUUCGGCUUACCCGGAGUAGUGCAUGGGAAACUGGGAGCCUUGAGUGCAGACGCGGCGCGUGGAACUCCCUGUGUAGCGGU